GAUAAACGCUGGCGGCGUGCCUAAUACAUGCAAGUCGAGCGAACGGACGAGAAGCUUGCUUCUCUGAUGUUAGCGGCGGACGGGUGAGUAACACGUGGAUAACCUACCUAUAAGACUGGGAUAACUUCGGGAAACCGGAGCUAAUACCGGAUAAUAUUUUGAACCGCAUGGUUCAAAAGUGAAAGACGGUCUUGCUGUCACUUAUAGAUGGAUCCGCGCUGCAUUAGCUAGUUGGUAAGGUAACGGCUUACCAAGGCAACGAUGCAUAGCCGACCUGAGAGGGUGAUCGGCCACACUGGAACUGAGACACGGUCCAGACUCCUACGGGAGGCAGCAGUAGGGAAUCUUCCGCAAUGGGCGAAAGCCUGACGGAGCAACGCCGCGUGAGUGAUGAAGGUCUUCGGAUCGUAAAACACUGUUAUUAGGGAAGAACAUAUGUGUAAGUAACUGUGCACAUCUUGACGGUACCUAAUCAGAAAGCCACGGCUAACUACGUGCCAGCAGCCGCGGUAAUACGUAGGUGGCAAGCGUUAUCCGGAAUUAUUGGGCGUAAAGCGCGCGUAGGCGGUUUUUUAAGUCUGAUGUGAAAGCCCACGGCUCAACCGUGGAGGGUCAUUGGAAACUGGAAAACUUGAGUGCAGAAGAGGAAAGUGGAAUUCCAUGUGUAGCGGUGAAAUGCGCAGAGAUAUGGAGGAACACCAGUGGCGAAGGCGACUUUCUGGUCUGUAACUGACGCUGAUGUGCGAAAGCGUGGGGAUCAGACAGGAUUAGAUACCCUGGUAGUCCACGCCGUAAACGAUGAGUGCUAAGUGUUAGGGGGUUUCCGCCCCUUAGUGCUGCAGCUAACGCAUUAAGCACUCCGCCUGGGGAGUACGACCGCAAGGUUGAAACUCAAAGGAAUUGACGGGGACCCGCACAAGCGGUGGAGCAUGUGGUUUAAUUCGAAGCAACGCGAAGAACCUUACCAAAUCUUGACAUCCUUUGACAACUCUAGAGAUAGAGCCUUCCCCUUCGGGGGACAAAGUGACAGGUGGUGCAUGGUUGUCGUCAGCUCGUGUCGUGAGAUGUUGGGUUAAGUCCCGCAACGAGCGCAACCCUUAAGCUUAGUUGCCAUCAUUAAGUUGGGCACUCUAAGUUGACUGCCGGUGACAAACCGGAGGAAGGUGGGGAUGACGUCAAAUCAUCAUGCCCCUUAUGAUUUGGGCUACGCACGUGCUACAAUGGACAAUACAAAGGGCAGCGAAACCGCGAGGUCAAGCAAAUCCCAUAAAGUUGUUCUCAGUUCGGAUUGUAGUCUGCAACUCGACUACAUGAAGCUGGAAUCGCUAGUAAUCGUAGAUCAGCAUGCUACGGUGAAUACGUUCCCGGGUCU
rnacentral:rRNA from 1 species